AUCCAGAUGACGAGUCCUAAAUGGGACGAAACGCACGUCCUAGAU
rnacentral:hammerhead_ribozyme from 1 species